CCUACGGGUGGCUGCAGUGGGGAAUAUUGGGCAAUGGGGGAAACCCUGACCCAGCGACGCCGCGUGAGGGAAGAAGGUUUUCGGAUUGUAAACCUCUGUUCUUGGUGAAGAGUGGAAGACGGUAACCAAGGAGGAAGCCCCGGCUAACUACGUGCCAGCAGCCGCGGUAAUACGUAGGGGGCGAGCGUUGUCCGGAAUGAUUGGGCGUAAAGGGCGCGUAGGCGGCUGUUUAAGUCUGGAGUGGAAGUCCUAUUUUUAAGGUAGGAAUUGCUUUGGAAACUGAGCAGCUUGAGUGCAGGAGAGGUCAUCGGAAUUCCCGGUGUAGCGGUGAAAUGCGUAGAGAUCGGGAGGAACACCAGUGGCGAAGGCGGGUGACUGGACUGCAACUGACGCUGAGGCGCGAAAGUGUGGGGAGCAAACAGGCUUAGAUACCCCGGUAGUC
rnacentral:rRNA from 1 species